rnacentral:rRNA from 1 species
AUUGAACGCUGGCGGCAGGCCUAACACAUGCAAGUCGAGCGGAGCGGCGGACGGGUGAGUGAUGCCUAGGAAUCUGCCUGGUCGUGGGGGAUAACGUCCGGAAACGGGCGCUAAUACCGCAUACUAUCAGAUUAGCCUAGGUCGGAUUAGCUAGUUGGUGGGGUAAAGGCCUACCAAGGCGCCGAUCCGUAACUGGUCUGAGAGGAUGAUCAGUCACACUGGAACUGAGACACGGUCCAGCCGCCUACGGGAGGCAGCAGUGGGGAAGAUGGGGCAAUGGGCGAAAGCCUGAUGCAGCGAUGCCGCGUGUGUGAAGAAGGGCUUCGGAUUGUAAAGCUCUUUAAGUUGGGAGGCGGUACCAACAGAAUAAGCACCGGCUAACUUCGUGCCAGCAGCCGCGGUAAUUC